UCGAUCUACCAACCUGAGAGAGGUCUACACGUUGUGUUUUUCUGACUUUUGUUUGUGCAACAAUUAGAAAGGGGACACAAGUCAAGAAGUGUUGAAAGUUAAUACUGGACCAGGUUGCAAUGAAACUUCGUUUAAGAUCAUCUCUUCGCAGAACAGGCAAAAAUGGCAAACAAUUUUGUUUUCAGCAGGAAGACCAGCCUGGAUUUAUAGUGCGACAUAUCAACAAAUUCAUUGGAAGUGGUGUUUUUGCAACGAAAAGGUUCUCAAGAAAUGACUUCCUUCUCGAGUACCGGGGAGAGCU